rnacentral:rRNA from 1 species
CCUACGGGGGGCUGCAGUGGGGAAUAUUGGACAAUGGGGGGAACCCUGAUCCAGCCAUGCCGCGUGUGUGAAGAAGGCCCUCGGGUUGUAAAACACUUUCAGUGAGGAAGAACGCCUGGUGGUUAAUACCCAUCAGGAAAGACAUCACUCACAGAAGAAGCACCGGCUAACUCCGUGCCAGCAGCCGCGGUAAUACGGAGGGUGCGAGCGUUAAUCGGAAUUACUGGGCGUAAAGCGCGCGUAGGUGGCUUGAUAAGCCGGUUGUGAAAGACCCGGGCUCAACCUGGGAACGGCAUCCGGAACUGUCAAGCUAGAGUGCAGGAGAGGAAGGUAGAAUUCCCGGUGUAGCGGUGAAAUGCGUAGAGAUCGGGAGGAAUACCAGUGGCGAAGGCGGCCUUCUGGACUGACACUGACACUGAGGUGCGAAAGCGUGGGUAGCAAGCAGGAUUAGAUACCCUAGUAGUC